UACAGAGGUGGCAAGCGUUGUUCGGAAUUACUGGGCGUAAAGGGCGCGUAGGCGGCCUUCUAAGUCAGACGUGAAAUCCCCAGGCUUAACCUGGGAACUGCGUCUGAUACUGGAUGGCUUGAAUCCGGGAGAGGGAUGCAGAAUUCCAGGUGUAGCGGUGAAAUGCGUAGAUAUCUGGAGGAAUACCGGUGGCGAAGGCGGCAUCCUGGACCGGCAUUGACGCUGAGGAGCGAAAGCUAGGGGAGCAAACGGG
rnacentral:rRNA from 1 species